UUUGCUUGAAGAAAUAAAUCAUUAAAAUCCCCAAUUUUUUAGGGUAAACGUUCCUCAUCACGAAUUGUUGAAACAGAAAGCGGCGAUGCCAACAUUUGCAAUAAAAAGAGAGAAACUGCUAUAAAUCAACAGACUAAAGCAAUCAUCAUUCUAUUCCCCUUUCACAGCGUAUGUAUGAAUAGAUGGGUAAUUGAAGGAGUGCUUAGCUCGAAUUAGUCUGCGGUGGAUCGGAGGAAUUGAGAUCUUGAUCGGAGUGCAGUAUUAUUCCAUCGGAGGGAACGAGGCGAGGAAUCCCAUCAACGAUCGGAUUCGGGUGGGAUCGAAGAUCGACCGACCUUAUUAGCAGUCUGUGAAGGUCGUGAAGCUCUAUCAAAUUUGGUUUUCUGAGUUGUCGUCGUGUGUCAUCUCCGCCCCAAUCGAAGGAGGAAAAGCCAAGCCUUUGAAGCAACCUAAGGCUGAAAAGAAAGAGUACGACGAGACUGACAAGGCUAAUAUUCAAAAGAAGAAAGAAGAAGAGAAGGCUCUUAAGGAGCUUAAGGCAAAGGCCCAGCAAAAGGGGGCAUUUGGCGGUUCUGGUCUGAAGAAAAGUGGCAAAAAAUGAGUCCCAGAAGAAUAGCUAGCUCAUUGCUUGUCCUGUUUGUCAUUUUCUUUGUAAUGUAAUUUAAACAUUUUAGGUUGUUCCCACUAAUGUUUAUCGGUAUCUAGCCGUGAAGGGUGUGUGGGUGUAAGAUUGUAUGUUCAACAAUUGAAUCUAUGAAAUGGCUUAUGUAUAAA